GGUCUACUUACAUGAAUAAGUCGCUCUGGAUAAGAGCGUCUGCUAAAUGACUUAAA
rfam:Salmo salar isolate Sally breed double haploid chromosome ssa02, whole genome shotgun sequence.